rnacentral:miRNA from 1 species
GUAAAUAACUACACAAGGUGC